rnacentral:rRNA from 1 species
GAUGAACGCUGGCGGCGUGCCUAAUACAUGCAAGUCGAGCGAACAGACGAGGAGCUUGCUCCUCUGACGUUAGCGGCGGACGGGUGAGUAACACGUGGAUAACCUACCUAUAAGACUGGGAUAACUUCGGGAAACCGGAGCUAAUACCGGAUAAUAUAUUGAACCGCAUGGUUCAAUAGUGAAAGACGGUUUUGCUGUCACUUAUAGAUGGAUCCGCGCCGCAUUAGCUAGUUGGUAAGGUAACGGCUUACCAAGGCAACGAUGCGUAGCCGACCUGAGAGGGUGAUCGGCCACACUGGAACUUAGACACGGUCCAGACUCCUACGGGAGGCAGCAGUAGGGAAUCUUCCGCAAUGGGCGAAAGCCUGACGGAGCAACGCCGCGUGAGUGAUGAAGGUCUUCGGAUCGUAAAACUCCGUUAUUAGGGAAGAACAAAUGUGUAAGUAACUAUGCACGUCUUGACGGUACCUAAUCAGAAAGCCACGGCUAACUACGUG